rnacentral:rRNA from 1 species
AUCAACGCUGGCGGCGCGCUUAACACAUGCAAGUCGAACGAGAAAGCCGGGGCAACCUGGUGAGUAAAGUGGCGUACGGGUGAGUAACACGUGGGUAAUCUACCUUCUGGUGGGGGAUAACCCUGGGAAACCGGGGCUAAUACCGCAUAACCCCGCAAGGGAAAAGCAGCAAUGCGCUGGAAGAGGAGCCCGCGGCCGAUUAGCUAGUUGGUAGGGUAAUGGCCUACCAAGGCUGUGAUCGGUAGCCGGCCUGAGAGGGCACACGGCCACACUGGCACUGAAACACGGGCCAGACUCCUACGGGAGGCAGCAGUGGGGAAUCUUGCACAAUGGGGGAAACCCUGAUGCAGCGACGCCGCGUGAGCGAUGAAGCCCUUCGGGGUGUAAAGCUCUUUCGGCAGGAACGAUAAUGACGGUACCUGCAGAAGAAGCUGCGGCUAACUACGU